rnacentral:lncRNA from 1 species
UUUUUUUUUUCGUUUUCGAGAGGCACGGCCAUGGAGGAAAAAACAGAAGACAUGUUUUUUUUGAGAGGCACGGCUGUGUCUCUCGCGAAAGAAAAAAAAAGAAAAAAUGCAUUUUUUUUUGUUUUCGAGAGGCAUGGCUUAGCAGUGCCUCUCGCGAAAACACAACUGUGCUUCUCAUGAAAGCAAAACCGUGCCUCUAACAAAAGGAAAAAAAAUAAAAAAUGUAUUUUUUUCCGUUUCCGAGAGACACGACCGUGCCUCUCACAAAAAAAAUUAAAAAAAUUAUUUUGGUCCAAAAGCUAAGGUAGACCGAUGGAAGACCAAAAAAUAAUAAAAAAAGUUUAAAAAGUCGAAAACGCGUGUGAAAAAAUAAAAAGACAAAAUUCAAAAGAAAUGUCCAGCGCGAGACGUCGCGGCGGCUGAGUGCAUGCCAUUCAAAUGAUCAUUGGAAGGCUCCCAAAGGAGUGCUCGCCAACUAGUCGCUCUCACUCAUCAGGAAAAAAAACUAUUUGCUCUCACGAUCGACGGCUCGCUGGUGCUGCGUACAGGUGGGGAUGGGCGGAGAAGUUUAGCAGCCGUGGGCCAAAUCUUGAUAUGGACGCAAAUACAAACGAAACAGAAGGCCCAUGAAAGUUCCUCCUCUUCUCGUUGACCCCUAGCCCCUCUCUCUCAAACUGCCUCAUCCACCUCCACCGAAGCGAUCGCCGAGUGUUCGACGAGUGCCUGCGCGGAGCGGCGUCAAUGGGUUCAUCGCCGCAAGCGUAAAGCUACCCGCCUCGCGGUGUUCGUUCCCCGGCGCAUCGACGCUGAAAGGUAUGCGCCUAAUUCCGCUCCCCUCUUCAAUUCUGUAGGCCAAACACCCAGCGUUCCAGCGUUUGAUCGACGCCCUCGGCGUGUUCGGCAGAAUGCCAGUCCGGGAGCUUCAUCUUGUUUGGACCUUUGAACGGCUAGUUUGAAGAAUUCAUCGCACGUGAGAUGGAAAGAAUCAGGACCGGAUGAUAUUUUUGCGUGUAAAAUUUCCUGCGUUUUGGGGAUCUUAUGCUGUUCUCUAUGGUUGACAAGAGUUUGCUCUUCUCAUUUCUCAGCACUGAAGAUUGGUCCAUCGACUCAUCUUGACACUAAUGGACCGGGAACACUCGGCUUUGAAGAAAAUGAGAUUGGAGGACGCAGAGGAUUCUGCGAUCAGUCAAGUGCCUGCCACGGCGUCGAGCAUGCAUCAGCAAUUGUUCUGGAGCCAGUGGCAGCUACUGGACUCCAUUCUCCCCACGGGCGGUUUCGCACACUCCUACGGCCUGGAAGCUGCUAUGCAAUCGCGCAUAGUGAACAACCAGGAAGACCUGAGGCUGUUCCUCAUCCAGGUCUUGGACAACAUUGGAAGCCUGCUGCUUCCAUUCGUCUACUGCGCCAGUAGGUCUCCUGAGGCUGCAGCGUGGGUUAAGCUAGAUCAGCUGCUGGACGCUACACUGACAAAUGAGGUCGGCAGGAAGGCGUCCACGUCGCAAGGCUCGGCUCUGUUGAGGGUGGCCGCGUCUGUCUUCACUGAGAUCCAGCCGCUGCAGGAUCUCCGACGGACAUUUCUCGGUUCCAUGAGUGUGUCGUUACACCAUGCACCGAUAUUCGGGUUGAUAUGUGGGCUGGUUGGAUUUGACAGCGAGACAACGCAGCGUGCUUACAUGUUUGUGGCAAUGAGGGAUGUGAUCUCCGCCGCGACGAGGCUCAAUUUGAUCGGACCGCUUGCUGCUUCGGUUCUGCAGCACCAGGUUGCGCCAGAUGCCGAGAAGAUGCUGCAAAAGUGGAAGGACCGUGAUGUCUCUGAAGCAUCACAGACUGCGCCGCUGCUUGACGCGUUGCAAGGCUGCCAUGCUUACAUGUUCUCUAGGCUGUUUUGCUCCUAACAGGCGAGGUUCACUUCCAUAUCUUUCCAUCUCUUUCGUUGUACAAUGUCUCCAAGCAUACACAACAGAGGCUCAACUUCAUGAUACAUGUACCAUUUGUGCUUUUGUAUUAUUCUGAUGUAUUGAAACAUAUCUCCUUAUUUCCUGAGAAAAUAAAUUAACUGGUUCAUAGAGAGAUGUAUGUUACUCUGUAUAAAGCAUCUUUUAUAACAUGGCAUAUGGUUGAUCGAUGACUUUGUGCACUGCAAUUGAACAUUCACUUGAGUGCUGCCUCCUAACAAGGACAUGAUAAGCAAUUGAGCAGUUUAUUCAAUUAUCCUGUAACAAGGAGAUGUUUAAAUAGACCAGACAUUUCCCAGGUCCAUGAUACACCCAGUUAUAUGUCUGGAUAACCUUAUUCUGAUAUUCCUCUGCUUCUUUCAGGUUGCUGAAUGCAAUUUGGUAUAGUUCUGCUCAUGGUUUUACCUUAGAGAAGUACAGGACCCCUGGCUUUCCUAAACAACAAUGGCAUCAGAAUAUUACAAGCAUCCUGAGGAUAGAUGCCCAGUAUGAUUUUUUAUUUUACUUGCAAGCAAGAUUGUACAAAAAUGCCAAUAGUACAUUAUGUUCAUGUGUGACGCCUCUCUGCCAUGUGCCAUCUAUUACACUCGUCAUACAUAUGAUACAUCUGUCUUCGGCUUCACCAAUUAUGACAUUGAUAUAAUUAUGCAUUGCAUAUUACAAAGAACAUUGCUUUCUUUUGCUCCAUGAUCCGAAGUACUGGAUCUGUUGCUCCAGCUCCAGAUUCUAUGCUAAGUGCAACAGCAGAAUGCUUGGCUUCAACGGAUUUUUCAUGCUCAACAGAUCUGAACAGCUCGGAGAAGUUGCCCUUGCCAAUCCUGCCACAGCCACCCUUCUGGUACUCUUGCCCGGUCCCGUCCUUCCCCAUGCACCCGAUCCUUUUGGAUCAUCUUCAUAACAAGGUUGGCCUGAACAUAGUAGCUGAUGCAGUUAGAUUUUGAAUCACAAAGAGUAGAUAAAAGAUAGCAAAAAUGCAGUCUGAAGUCAGUAGGGCACUGAACCUCAAGUUACUGAAUUAUGGCAUAAAUACUAGUACUAUAUUAUAUGCUAAACCAAAACAUUUGCAAACAACUGUGUAUAGCUCUAUGCUAAAAUACAGUACACCAUGACCAUGCCACGAAUUGUGAAGUUGGAUAUGUUGGCCCUAUGCAAGCAGCUUUAUUCCCCUUUAAAGCUGUCAUGAUUUUCAUAAAGAUGCAUCAUGUAUGGAUGCGCUAAAAAGAGUUUCAGUUGGAUUCACAGCAUUCAGUAUAACCAAGGUUUGAUACCUUUAUGCACCUUACACAUACACCAUGUGAUGUAGAACUCAAAAUCGUUUCGUCUUUAUUUUACUGGCAAGGAAGAUUGUACAACAACAAUGCCAACAGUACAUUUUGUUCAUGUGUGAGCCCUUCUUACAUCUGUUACACUCAUGAUACAUAACACGGAUAUAAUUGCACGUCGCAUAUCACAAACAACAUUGUUUUCUUUUGCUCCAUGAGACCAUGAUACAAAGUACUGGAUCAGCUUCUCCAGCUUCAGCUUCUAUCCUAUGAUCCCUGAAGUGCAGCAGAUUGCUUGGCUUCAAGGGACUUCUCAUAAUCCUCAAUGGACUUGAACAUCUCGGAGAAGUUGCCUUUGCUGAACCCACCACAGCCACCCUUCUGGUACUCUUCCCCUCUCUCAUCCUUCUCCAUGCACACGUUGGCCUGAACAUAAUAGUUGAUGCAGUUAGAUUUUGAAUCACAGGGGGUAGAGCAAAGAAGCAGCUUGAAUUUAUUAUCCAGGUCUUGGAGAACAUUGGAAGCCUGCUGCUUCCAUUCCUGUACUACGCCAGUAGGUUUCCUGAUUCCGCGGGAUGGAUCAAGCUAUAUCAGCUACUAGAUGCUACGUUGACGAACGAGGCCGGCAGGACAUCGUCCACGUCGCAAGGCCCGGCUCUUUUGAGGGUGGCAGUGUCUUUCUUCACUGAGAUUCAGUCGCUGCAGGAUCUCCGAAGGACAUUUCCCAGUUCCACGAGCGUGUCGUUUCACCAUGCACCGAUAUUCGGGUUGAUAUGUGGGCUGGUUGGAUUUGACAGUGAGACAGCGCAGCGUGCUUACAUGUUUGUGACGAUGAGGGAUGCGAUCUCCACAGCGACGAGGUUUAAUUUGAUCGGACCGCUUGCUGCUUCGGUGCUGCAGCACCAGGUUGUGCCAGAUGCUGAGAAGAUGCUGCAGAAGUGGAGGGACCAUGAUGUCUCUGAAGCAUCAGACUGCGCUGCUGCUUGACGCAUUGCAGGGCUGCCAUGCCUACAUGUUCUCUAGUCAGUUUUGCUCUUGACAAUGAGGUUCGCUUCUAUAUCUUUUUAUCUCUCUCGUUGUACAAUAUCUUGAAGCAUACACAACAAAGGCCUCAACUUCAUGAUACAUGUACGAUUCAUGCUUUCAUAUUAUUCGGAUGUAGGAUGCCAUUGAAACAUAUGCCUUUAUUUUCUGAAAAAAAUGGUUAACCGGUUCAUACAAAAAUGUAUGUUACUCUGUUUAUAAAGCAUCUUUUUAUAACAUAGCGUGUGGUUGAUCACUGAUUUUGUGCACUGCAAUUGAACAUUCACUUGAGUGAUGUCUCCUAACAAGGACAUCAUAAGCAAUUGAGCAGUUUAUUCAAUUAUCCUGCAACAAGGAGAUGUUUAAAUAGACAAGACAUUUUGCAGGUCCAUUUUGUGAACAACAUGAUGCAUGAUACGCCCAGUUAUAUGCCUGGAUAAUCUUAUUCUGAUAUUCCUCUGCUUCUUUCAGGUUGCUGAAUGCAAUUUGGUGUAGUUCUCUGCUCAUGGUUUUAACUCUGAGAAGUACAGGAAAAAUGGCUCUUUCCAAAGAAAAAUGGCACCAGAAGAUUGCAAUCAUCCCGAGGACAGAUGCCCAGUAUGAUUCUUUAUUUUACUUGCAAGGAAGAUUGUACAAAAAUGCCAAUAGUACAGCAUGUUCAUGUGUGAGCCCUCUCUACCGCAUAUCACAAUUAAACAUAGGAUACAUUGAUAUAGACAUAUAGUUGUGUGUGGCAUAUUACAUAGAACAUUGUUUUCUUUUGCUCCAUGAUACAAAGUAUUGGAUCUGUUGCUCCAGCUCCAUAUUCUAUCCUGCGAUGCAACAGCAGAAUGUUUGGCUUCAAGGGAUUGCUCAUACAUCUGUACAGCUCGGAGAAGUUGUUGCCCUUGCCAAACCCACGACAGUCAACCUUCUGGUACUCUUGGCUCUUGCCUGACCUCAGCCUUCUCCAUGCACCCGAUCCUUUGGAUCAUCUUCAACAACAAGCUGAUGCAGUCUGAAGUCAGUAGGGCAUUGAACCUCAAGUUACUGAAUUAUGGCUUAAAUAGUUAUCUGCUGAACCAAAACUUUUUCAAAUAACUGUCUAUGCUAGUAUUGUACACCAUGUCAUUUGAAGUUUUUCAAAUACCUUGGCCUUUUACUAUGCAAGGAGCUUUACUCCCCUUAAAAGUUGUCACGGUCUCCAUAAAGAUGCAUGAUGCAUGGAUACGCCAAAAAAAGUUUCAAGUUGGAUUCAUGGCAUUCACUGUCAUAUGGAUUGUGUGGCCAAAACCAAGGUUUGAUACCUUUAUGCACCAUACACACACACCAUGUGGUGUAGAACUCAAAUCGGUUCUUCCUUAUUUAUUUGCAAGCAAGAUUGUACAGCAAAGCCAACAGUACAUUUUGUUCAUGUGUGAGCCCCCUCUGCCAUUCAUUACACUCAUGAUGCAUAUGUCUUCGGCUUCACCAUGCGUCCCAUAUCACAAACAACACUGUUUUCUUUUGCUCCAUGAGGCCAUGAUACAAAGUACUGGAUGAGCUUCUCGAGACGCACUUCUAUCCUAUGAUCCCUGAACUGCAGCAGAUUGCUUGGCUUCAAGGGACUUCUCAUAAUCCUCAAUGGACUUGAACAGCUCGGAGAAGUUGCCUUUGCCAAACCCUCCGAAGUCACCCUUCUGGUACUCUUCCCCUCUCUCGUCCUUCUCCAUGCACCCGAUCCUUUGGAUCAUCUCCAGGAACAACGUUGGCCUGAACAUAAUAGUUGAUGCAGUUAGAUUUGGAAUCACAGGGAGUAGAGCAAAGAAGCGCUCGAAUUUAUUAUCCAGGUCUUGGAGAACAUUGGAAGCCUGCUGCUUCCAUUUGUGUACUGCACCAGUAGGUCUCCUGAUGCUGCGUCGUGGGUCAGGCAAGAUCAGCUACUGGAUGCUACGUUGACGAACAAGGUAGGCAGGAAGGCGUCCACAUCGCAAGGCUCGGCUCUAUUGAGGGUGGCAGCGUCCGUCUUCACUGAGAUCCAGUCGCUGCAGGAUCUCCGAAGGACAUUUCUCGGUUCCACGAGGGUGUCGUUUCACCAUGCACCGAUGUGCGGGUUGAUAUGCGGGCUGGUUGGAUUUGACAGCGAGACAACGCAGAGGGCUUACAUGUUUGUGACAAUGGGGGAUGUGAUCUCAGCGGCGGCGACGAGGUUCAAUUUGAUCGGACCACUUGCUGCAUUGGUGCUGCAGCACCAGGUUGCGCAGAUGCUGAGAAGAUGCUGCAGAAGUGGAGGGACCGUGAUGUCUCUGAAGCAUCAGAAACUGCGCCACUGCUUUACACGUUUCAGGGAUGCCAUGCUUACAUGUUCUCUAGGCUGUUUUGCUCCUGACAAUGAGAUUCGCUUCCAUAUCUUUCCGUCUCUCACGUUGUACAGUGUCUUCAUGCAUACACAACACAGGGCUCUAAUUCAUUCCUUGAUAUUAUUUUCAUGUAGGAUGCCAUUGAAACACGUAUCCUUGUUUCCUGAAAAAAAUCAGUUAACGGGUUCAUAGAGAGAUACAUGUUACUCUGUAUAAAGCAUCUUUUAUAACAUGGAAUAUGAUUGAUCGAUGACUUUGUGCAAUGCAAUUGAACAUUCACAUGAUUGAUGUCUCCUACAGUAACAAGGACAUGAUGAGCAACUGAGCAGUUGAUUCCUGUAACAAGGAGAUGUUAAAAUAGAUCAGAGAUUUCACUGGUCCAUUUUGUGAACAAUACAAUGCAUGAUACACCCGGUUAUAUGUCUAGAUGACCUUGUUAUGUUUUUCCUCUGCUUCUUUCAGGUUGCUGAAUGCAAUUUGGUGUACUUGUGCUAACAGUUUUACCCAGAGAAGUAGAGGACUGCUGGCUUUUCCUAAAAGAAAAAUGGCAUCAGAAGAUUGCAAGCAUCCCGAUAACAGAUGCCCAGUAUGAUUAUUUAUUAUUCUUGCAAGCAAGAUUUUACAACAAUUUCAAUAACCUAAUAGUACAUUAUGUUCAUGUGUGGGCCCACUCUUUACACUCAUCAUACAUAGGAUAUAUCUAUCUUCAGCUUCAUCAAAUACAACAAUUAGUACUGGAUCUGCUGCUCCAGCUCCAGAUUUUAUCCUAGGGUGCACCCGCAGAUUGCUUGGCUUCAAAGAAUUUCUCAUUCUCCUUAAUACUCCUGGAACUCCUGCCCAAUACUCCUGGAGUAGAUCUCAACAGCUUGGAGAAGUUGCCCUUGCCAAACCGGCCGCAGCUACCAUUCUGGAACUCCUGCCCAAUAUCGUCCUUCUCAUUGCAUUCGAUCCUUUGAUCAUCUCUAAGAACAAGGUUGGCCUGAACAUAGUAUAAUACCUGAUGCAGCUAGAUUUGGAAUUUCAGAAAGUAGAUAAACAUACUAGCAAAGAUUCUGUCCUAAGUCAGUAGGGCACUGAACCUCAAGUUACUGAAUUAUAGCAUAAAUACUAGUAGUACUAUCUGCUGAACCAAAAUAAAAUAAAAUCAAAUAACUUUCUACUCCCUCCGUCCGGAAAUACUUGUCAUUGAAAUGGAUGUAUCUAGAUGUAUUUUAGUUGUAGAUACAUCCAUUUUCAUCCAUUUUGAUGACAAGUAUUUCCGGACGGAGGGAGUAUUAUACAAUAUGAAGUACACCAAUGCCACGAAUUGUGAAGUUGGAUUCUUUGGCCUUUUACUAUUCAAGGAGCUUUAUUCCCCUUUAAGUUGUCACAAUCUUCAUAAAGAUGCAUCAUGACCUUCACUAUCAUAUGGCUCGUAUGACCAAAACCAAAGUUUGAUACCUUACACACGCACCAUGUGAUGUAGAACUCAAAAUCGGUUCUUUAUUUUAUUUGCAAGCAAGAUUGUACAACAAUGCCAACAGUACAUUUGUUACAUGUGUGAGCCCCCUCUUCAUCUGUUACACUCAUCAUACAUAGGAUACAUCUGUCUUCAGCUUCACCAAUUGUAACAUUGACAUAAUUGUGGGUCACAUCUUACAAACAACGUUGUUUUCUUCUGCUCCAUGAGACCAUGAUACAAAGUACUGGAUCAGCUUCUAUCCUAUGAUCCCUGAACUGCAGCAGAUUGUUUGACUUCAAGGGACUUUUCAUAAUCCUCAAUGAACUUGAACAGCUUGGAGAAGUUGCCUCUGCCGAACCCGCCGCAGCCACCCUUCUGGUACUCUUCCCCUCUCUCGUCCUUCUCCCUGCACCCGAUCAUUUGGAUCAUUUCCAGGAACAACGUUGGCCUGAACAUAAUAGCUGAUGCAGUUAGAUUUUGAAUCACGGGUAGUAGAGCAAAGAAGCAGCUUGAAUUUAUUAUCGAGGUUUUGGAGAACAUUGGAAGCCUGCUGCCUCCGUUCAUGUCUGUGCCAGUAGGUCUCCUGACGCCGCGGCAUGGGUCAGGCUAUCUCAGCUGCUGGAUGGUACGUUGACGAACGAGGUCGACAGGAAGGCGUCCACGUCGCAAAGCUUGGCUCUGUUGAGGGUGGCUGCAUCUGUCUUCACUGAGAUCCAGUCACUGCAGGAUCUCCGAAGGACAUUUCUAGGUUCCAUGUGUGUCGUUUCACCAUGCACCGAUGUUUUGGUUGAUAUGCGGGCUUGCUGGAUUUGACAGCGAGGCAACGCAGUGGGCUUACAUUUUGUGACAAUGAGGGAUGUGAUCUUGUUGGCGACGAGGGUCAAUUUGAUCGGACCACUUGCUUGCUUCGCUGCUGCAGCACCAGGCUGCGCCAGAUGCUGAGAAGAUGCGGCAGAAGUGGAGGGACCGUGAUGUCUCUGAAGCAUACUGCUUGAUGCGCUGCAGGACUGCCAUGCUUACAUGUUCUCUACGCUGUUUUGCUCCUGACUAUGAGGUUCGCUUCCAUAUCUUCCCGUCUCUCACGCUGUACAAUUUCUUCAAGCAUACACAACAGAGGGCUCAAAUUCAUGCUACAUGUAUGAUUCAUGCUUCCAUAUUAUUCUGAUGUAGUAUGCCAUUGAAACGUAUAUGCUUAUUCCCUGAAAAAAAUAAGUUAACCGGUUCCUAGAGAGAUGUAUGUUACUCUGUAUAAAGCAUCUUUUAUAACAUGGUAGUAUAUAAUUGAUCGAUGACUUUGUACACUACAAUUGAACAUUCACUUGAGUGCUGUCUCCUAACAAGGACAUGAGUAAUUGAGCAGUUUAUUCAAUUAUCCUAUAACAAGGUGUUUGUUUAAAUAGACCAGACAUUUUGCAGGUCCAUUCUGUGAACAACAUGAUGCAUGAUACACCGAGUUAUAUGCCUGGAUAACCUUAUUGCGAUAUUCCUCUGCUUCUUUCAGGUUGCUGAAUGCAAUUUGGUGUAGUUCUCUGCUCACGGUUUUAACUCAGAGAAGUACAGGACAAAUGGCUCUUUCCAAAGAAAAAUGGCACCAGAAGAUUGCGAGCAUCCCGGACAGACGCCCAGAUUGUACAUAAAUGCCAAUAGUACAUUAUGUUCAUGUGUGAGCCCUCUCUACCACCUAUCACACUCAUCAUACAUAGGAUACAUUGAUAUAGUUGUGGGUCGCAUAUUACAUGGAACACCGUUUCCUUUUGCUCCAUGAUACAAAGUGCUGGAUCUGUUGCUCCAGCUCCAGAUUCUAUCCUAGGAUGCAACGGGAGAAUGCUUGGCUUCAAGGGAUUGCUCAUACUCCUGAAUAGUAGAUCUGAACAGUUCGGAGAAGUUGCCCUUGCCAUUCCUGCCGCAGUCACCCUUCUGGUACUCUUGCCCUGUCCCGUCCUUCUCCAGGCACCCGAUCCUUUGGAUCAUCUCCAUAACAAGGUUGGUCUGUACAUAGUAGCUGAUGCAGUUAGAUUUGAAAUCACAGAGAGUAGAUAAAGAUAGCACAGAUGCAGACUGAAGUCAGUAGGGCACUGAAUCUCAAGUUACUUGAAUCAUGGCAUAACUACUAUCUGCUGAACCAAAACUUGAACCUCAAGUACACCAUGCCAUGAAUUGUGAAGUUGGAUACCUUGGCCUUUGCCUAUGCAAGGAGCUUUAUCCCCCUUUAAAGCUGCCCCGAUCUUCAUAAAGAUGCAUCAUGCAUUGCUGUACUAAAAAGAGUUUCAGUUGGAUACAGAUGCACCAUGUGAUGUACUCCCAAAGUUCGGAAUUACUUGUCACAAAAAUGAAUAGAAAUGGAUGUACCUACAACUAAGAUACAUCUAGAUACAUUCAUUUCUUAGGCCCUGUUUGGCUUACCUCCGCUCCACAGCUCCACUCCUGUAGCGGGUGGAGUCACAGUGAGAAAACACGGAGCGGCUGUUUCGUGGCUCCACAGCUCCCGCUAUUUCGCGGAACAGGUGGGAUUCCGAACAGGGCCUUAACGAGUAAUUCCGAACGGAUGGAGGGAGUAGAACUCAAAAUCGGUUCUUCUUUAUUUUACUUGCAAGCAAGAUUGUACAACAAUGCCAACAGUACAUUUUGUUCAUGUGUGAGCCCCCUCUCUACCAUCUAUUACACCCAACAUACAUAGGAUACAUCUGUCUUCAGCUUCACCAAUUAUAACAUCGGAUAUAAUUGUGCGUCGCAUAUUACAAUGAACAUUGUUUCUUUUGCUCCAUGAGACCAUGAUAAAAAGCACUGGAUCAGCUUCUCCGGCUCCAAUUCCAGCUUCUAUCCUAU